rnacentral:rRNA from 1 species
AUUGAACGCUGGCGGCAUGCCUUACACAUGCAAGUCGAACGGUAACAGGUCUUCGGAUGCUGACGAGUGGCGAACGGGUGAGUAGUACAUCGGAACGUGCCUAGUAGUGGGGGAUAACUACUCGAAAGAGUGGCUAAUACCGCAUGAGAUCUACGGAUGAAAGCAGGGGAUCGCAAGACCUUGUGCUACUAGAGCGGCCGAUGGCAGAUUAGGUAGUUGGUGGGAUAAAAGCUUACCAAGCCGACGAUCUGUAGCUGGUCUGAGAGGACGAUCAGCCACACUGGGACUGAGACACGGCCCAGACUCCGACGGGAGGCAGCAGUGGGGAAUUUUGGACAAUGGGCGCAAGCCUGAUUCAGCAAUGCCGCGUGCAGGAUGAAGGCCUUCGGGUUGUAAACUGCUUUUGUACGGAACGAAAAGCCCUGGGUUAAUACCCUGGGGUCAUGACGGUACCGUAAGAAUAAGCACCGGCUAACUACGUGCCAGCCGCCGCGGUAACAC